rnacentral:rRNA from 1 species
GACAGAGGAUGCAAGCGUUAUCCGGAAUGAUUGGGCGUAAAGCGUCUGUAGGUGGCUUUUUAAGUUUGCUGUCAAAUCCCAGGGCUUAACCCUGGCUAGGCGGUGGAGACUACUGAGCUGGAGUACGGUAGGGGCAGAGGGAAUUUCCGGUGGAGCGGUGAAAUGCGUUGAUAUCGGAAGGAACGCCGGUGGCGAAAGCGCCCUGCUGGACCUCAUCUGACGCUGAGGCGCGAAAGCCAGGGGAGCAAACGGG